UGGAAAUAUUACUUUAAAGCACUUU
rnacentral:piRNA from 1 species